GCUCAUCUGCGGCACUGCAGGGGUCGGAAACCGGCACAAAAAGGUCAUCUUAAAUCCAGGAGUCCGAUCAUCUGCGCAAGCCGAUUUGUCUCCUCCAGAUUCUCAGGUUAACGCCAUCCUUCCAUAUCUCAGAAAGGACUACACCGAGCCCCAAUAUGAUUGGUGUCCUCAUAAGAAGUCAUGCUCCCAGAGAAAAGGUCAUGUGGAGACUCAUACAGGAGGUGCCAUCUGCAGACCUCAGGAAAGCCCUGCCCUGGACACUCUGCCCUUGCACCCCCAGCCUCCAGGACUGUGGGAAACAGCUGUCUGCCGUUUAAACACCCAGUCCAUGGUACGUACGACGGUGCCUCUGAAGAGCUAUCAUGCUAGCAUACUGCCAUUGAAACUUCUCUGUCUCUGCCCCCCAACAACCCAGUGCUUGCUGAGUGCACCAGAAGGAAGUGAAAUGGCAAUUACCGCUGCUUACCGUCACCAGCAGGAAACACUCGAUAGCAAAAUGUUUAAGAAUUUCCCUAAAAUGAGUUACAAGAGGGCUUCUGGGUAUUUUUAAAA